CCGAGCCCGGUGAAGGAACUGUGGGACGGCACGCGGUGGGAAUUGCCGCGGUGCGGAGCCAGGCCCGUCGGUGAGGAGCCCCCAGUGCUCCGGGAGUGGUCUCGUCAGGGCGGAGCAGAGCAGGAGGAGCACCUCUCUCGCCCUGCUAGCCGUGCUCCGUGCAUCCGGGGCACGCUGCUGCCUCAGUGCCAGCCACGGACCACCAUUCAGCAGCCGUUCAUCACCAUUUGUCAGCUGUUGGUCAACCGUUGCUCAGCCAGGACCCCCAUGUCCUUCUCACAGCUCCUCUCCAGCAGCUCAGCCCCAACCUGUGCAGCUCCAUGAGGUUAUUCCUCCCCAGCUGUAGGACCCUGCACUCCUCCUUGUUGGACCCAAGGUUUUUCAUCCCUCACCAAAAGCCAGGCUGGAUUUUUUUUAUGCUGCCAGCAAUGUGUCAGAUUCCCUCUGCCAGCCUACAUCAUGUGAUUACCCAGCGUGGUCUGUUGGGCUGAAAACUGCACGUCAUGUGGCCCAGAAAUUAAACUAAAAAUAAAAGUAGCUUUCUCUAAAGUGCUACAGCCAAAGGGACUGAGGGCAAUGGUUAUCAUCUGACAUCACUUCUACCCACGGGGAAAUCUCCCUUUCUAUCCAGGUGCCCUUCUUUUGGAUUGUGCCAUACUUUGAUACGCACAAGUCUGUGUUUGAUGAGAGUUUACUUGGGCAUGUUUGCUUUUAUUUGGGUGUAUAAUGCCAGUUGUAGGUAUAUGACUGCUAUUAUGAUAAUAACUGUUUACUUACAGGGUUAAGGGGACAAUUUGUCAUAACAGCUCUUCUUACCAUCUAUCCGUGAGUAUACGAUGUGACUGUGUUUUUUGGAGGAGAGAGGAAAUGUCUCUAUGUUUUCUGAUACAAGCCAAUGGGAUUUGCCAUGCUCUUGAAGAGUGAGACCCUGAGAUAACCACUGCUUUAUCUACUGUGAGCUCACAAUGAAUGCCACUGUUAUUUUUUUCCUUUUCCCUUCAGGCCAUAUUUAUUCUGCCUUUUCCUGGGUGUUUCUGUUUUGCAGCUUUGUGGGUUGGUAUUAAUGUUGUGUGGCAAGUGCAUGAAGCAGAUCCUUAUCUUCCCAUGGAAUUGCAACCUGAAACAAGCCUAGAUUCUUAGAACUGGUUGUGUUCAAGUUCAUAAGAUAACAUUUUAGAGCCAAUAUUAUUCAAAGGAAAAAAUUAAGCCAAAAUCAUGUAGGGGCAGAUGCUGAGUGUAAGCAAAUGUUGUGUGUUUAGACUACAUAAAAUAAUGGACUUUUUUGUUGUUGUUCUUUAACAGCUAUAAAGAUGGAGUGUUUGGGAAAUAGCAGGGUGCCACGAUGAAAACUGAUUUCAUAAACUUUAUCAAAGACCAGGAAUGGAAAUCCAUUGAACCAGUUUCAUCAUGGUUUCAUCCUUCCUUCUACCUGUAAGGUUUGGUAUGCCUCCUGUACUUGUUUGUUGUCAAGCAGGCACACUUCAAGGGCAGGUGGGACAGCUGCAGCACCUGUGUGCACCUCACCUGGUGCAGUUUCCUGAGCAAAGUUUACUUUUAGGUUUCAAAUGCUUGAAGUGCAAUGCUAGAUUGAAAUGUUACUUUUUUUUGGUGGCUCUUACAGGAAGCCUGGCGUUGUUACUUUGCCUGCUUACAGCACUGCCUGAAGCUUGAAACUGUGCAGUUGAUUUCCUGCACCCGAUUUUCCUGUUACUCCAUGCCAAGAAAUGCAUGAAAUAAAGUGCUUCUUUUAGGAUCAAUGUUUUCUAUUGGAAAUGUACAGUACCAGCUCCUUUCUGCAUGUUGAAGCAGUGUGCAGGACUGGUGAAUGUCCACUUCUGCAACUCAGUCUUUAGAAAUUUAUGUAGUCUUAAUGUUUAGAAUUCUCUUUUUUUUUUUUUUUUAAGGAUAAUCAAUACUUAAUGGUGAAGUUUCACAAUAACAGGGAAAUGUCAGAACCAGCAGAAUAUACGUGGCAGAUAGCCUGGUCUUCUUUACUUGUGUGUAAACUGCAGCUAAACUCAACUGGCUGAAUCUCUCUCAGUUCUUAUACCUUUUAUUCAGUAGGCUGAUUCUUUGGUUUGGGAAGUGCCCAAAUUGCUUAAUUAGUGAUAUCCUUCAUAGAGUUCCAGUUGUUGGGCCAUAAAUAACUGAUGAAUUUCAGUUACUUUUGUUUAUGUUCUGUGUCAGCAGGUUUAAGUCAAGGGAUUUUGUCAAGGAGUUGGUUGUUGUCCUAUGUGGAAUAUUGUACAGAGUGAUGUCAGUUCUGGAGGUGCUUCAUGGGAAAUGGGUGCUUACUGAACAACAGACAGAAUAGAAGCUAAAAGCAAAUUAAUCCAGAGGGAAACCAGGCAUGAGCAGUUGUUCAACAUGCAUCUAAAUAAUGGCUCAUCAGGCAAAUCAGAAGACAGUAGAUUCUGAUUGACUUGGGUAUUUUCAUGUACACUUUCCUGCUUUGUUCUGCAGUGUGUCAGCUUUGUGACAGAUGUCAGCGUGGGUCAGGCACUGCCAUGGUUAUUUAACAGAAAGCAUUGGAAUGCAGAUUUGGGGCUCCUACACUGUGUUCCUGUUGGCCACCCUCUUCUCAGGACUGAUCCUGCAGCUUGUAAGUGAGCCACUUGAAGCAGGUCAGUUUGUGUCUGCUGAGUGCCUGUGGUUUAAGCUUAUCUUCCAUUCCAGAUAAUGGUGUUCUUAGCAGACUGCCUCUGUGCUUCCAAAAACACAGGCCAGCACAGUGCCUUUAUUCAAGUAAGCACACUGUGUUCUUCUAGUUCAGUGAAGCUGUUGGGUAAACCUUAAUAAAAAUGGGGAUAUAACUUGUGCUUGCAGAACAGAAGGAAGUUUCACGUGUGCUUUGUGUUUUCUUUAACUGCAGCUACUUGCCUUUCAUGGUUUAUAUUGGGAUUGUGUAUGCAGCUAAUAGUAAACUAUUUCUUCAAGAUGAUUCUUUAGGUGAUAGAAAAAUACCACGUUUCAUUCCUGCAAGUUGUGAAAUGCAUGGGAGAUAGAAUAAAGUCGUUGAAUCACUGCCUUCUUUUCUGGAGUUCUCAGUUUUGAAGAGUUGGGGGAUUUCUCUCUUGUUGAGGGGCAAAGUGUCACAGAAUUGUAAGGGUUGGAAGGGACCAUCGAGUCCAACCCUCUGCAGAGCAGCUCCUUGCAGCAGGCUGCACAGGUUGGCAUCUCUAAGCUGGAAGGCAGCACAGCUCUUUGGAGAUAUCAUCCAGCUGGCACAUGGGACCCUCAGUGCCCCCCAGCAAGGAGUCCCCAAUUACUGAGACUCUCUGCCCUUUUUUGGUGGCACUGGUUGUGAUGCAGUGCCCCGACUGGCCCUGCUCCCUGUGCUUGUUACUCCCUGUAUCAUCAACAUGCCCCUCUGGGCUGGGUUCUGCCUGCUUUCCAGACUGCUGUCCGGCCUGAGAGCCUCGGAUCCAUUACUCAGCAGCACUUCAGGGGUUCUCUAUAGCAGAGAAGCAAAACUGCAGCUGUUUCCAUGGAAAAAAAGAAUGCUGUAACGCUAUAGUGAGUGAGCCAUUAGUGAGGCACUGCUGUGAAAAGACGAGUUCAAAUAAUUCCUUGGACUGAAGCUGCCCUGAGAUACUUGUGGUCUCUAGUUGGGACUGCCUUGCAUAUCUCAUGGUCGUUUGAGUCAUUUGGGUUAGAUGAUUUUUAUGGCUUGGGAAAGAGCUUUCAUGCAUACCAGGCUUUGAGCGAUGGCCGGCGGUGGGGGGAUGUAUUCUUGUGUUGCAAAAAGAAUGUGGGCCAGUUGACAAACGAUGUUUAAAAUUCAGUUCUUUGUAACCUCGUUGCAUUUGCCAAAAAUCCUGCUGCAUAUGGAUGCAAAUCAUCUCUGCUACAGACUGCUUCCUCCUCUUGUCCACCUACACGCAGUAUUUCAAACCCUACCAGCCGUGGUGGCCAACGCCGGUGCGUUUAUCUUGGAGUAGGAAACUGAAAUGAGGAUUGGCCGAGUUCUGCAAUGAAAGAUCCUUGGCAGGGGGGACAAAUCAGCACAAGGAACUGCUGACUAAAUAACCCUUGGCUAGAUUUAUGUAGAGCGCAUGAUAUCCUGAUGUCCUGUGGUCACUUCUGGAAACACCUCAUUUGUCUUCUGCUCACCCAGGAAAUCACGAACCUUGGCUGCUGCCACGACAGUGAUUUCAGCUCCAAAAAUUGUGAAAUUUGGGGCAGGAUCUUGAGAGAUGUAUCUGGCCAUGUGCACUUUGGGUUUGUCUGUUGCAGUUGUGUAGUUGGCCGUGAGCCGAUGUUCCUCACCAAAGCUCAAACGUCCCAGACAGAGACCUGCUCCAUUUGGAGCACAGAUCUGUUUGUAAAGGACUUUGGAACAUGUCUCACCAUGGUUUACUCCAGUUUUACCCUGGAAGGUGGCGGAAGAAGUUGUUGGGUUGUAAAAAGGAAACCAACCAAAGGGAAUCACGGGGCCAUUCAGUUUGGAGAGGACCUCCAACGUCCCUGUCCCAUCCCACCACGUCUCUCGGUGCCACGUCCCCACAGCUCUGGAACACCUCCAGGGUUGGUGACCCCACCACUCUCUGUGCAGCUGUGCCAAUACCUCACCACUCUUUCAGAGAAGAAAUUGUUCCCAAUACACCCAGCCUUGGAGAUGCACUUAAAGGUUGCUUGGACCGGUGUUAUUCCUGAAGGAAAUGCUACAGCAAGACCAGAAAUAAUUUCAUAGCUUAACAGAGCAUGGCAAAAGCAUGAAACAAACCAGUGUAAGUAAUUUUAGUUGAUAGAUGUGCAUACAGUGGGUACAGGGCCAAGUUGUGCCACAUUAUGGUAUGGUACCCCAUCCCUGGAAGUGCCCAAGGCCAGGCUGGAUGCUGCCAUGGGCACCCUGAGCUGGCAGCACCUAUUGCAGUGGUUGGAAACCCUAGUUUGGAACUGGAUGAUCUUAGAGAUGAUCUUCCAACCCAACCAUUCUUUGAUCUCUGCGCUGCUUCUCACACUGCGUCUUGCCUUUGGCCAGGGCCAGGCUGGGCAAGCAGCUGUCAGCUGGUGGCAGCAGAGCUGUGCAGUGUGCGAGGAGCUGCUCACAGAGCUGGUUUUGUCAGGGUUUGCUCCCUGCACAGCCUGGGGCUUUGGAAAGGCCGGGGGAGAAUGGAGCUGCGGUGCUGCCCUCGGGCUGGGGGCUGCUGCAUUUGGCUGGUUCAUCCGUCCCUUCUCCUCUCUGCCUCUCCCAGUCCCGACAUGUAUUCCUGCCCAUCGGGCCCAGCCCACGUCUGUUGUUUCUGGCUGCAUCUGCAGAAGCUGUUUAUUUACAAAUCUCUCCAGAAUUGGCCUCUUUGGUUCAAACUGAUGCAGGCGUUGCUUGAAGGAAAGCUGAUUUUUGACAGUCAGCGUGAGGAUGGGAACAGAUGGAGGCUUUGAUGAAUUAGGUAUCUCUGAGUGUCGUCCUCCUGCAAAUCAGCUUGGUUUUCUCCAUUAGCAUAAGAAGCAGGAAAAAGGAUUUCAUUUCUCCCAACGUUUCCCCUUUCCCCACCUCUCCAGCUCAGAGAUGCGUGUUGCUGCGUACCAACGAAGCGGCUCAGCUCCUUCCACAAAGCAGCAGCAGUUCCCAAUCCUUUGCUGGCACUUCUCCCUCCCUGGGGUGCGUGCUGUGCUGCUCUCCACCACGGGAUGCUAAAACGAGAGCCUUCCUGGGGCCGUGAGUCAUCUGCAGUGUGAAUUACUCGUUCUGCUUCGCUGAGAGCAGGAGAGAUCUGAGCUGGGCUGCGCUUACUCACGGCUGCUCCUCCAUCACAGCCAACUCAGGGCAGUGCAGGCAGCGCAGAUGCGGAGAACGCGGCUGCACUGUGAAUUAUUGAUAAGGGAAUAACAGCGCUGGGAGAUAAUCUCUGGAGGAGUGCGGAGAGUAAAUCUCUGCUGCACAGGGAGUGAGUGUCCCCGUUAGGAGAGCUUCUCCUAGGCAGGGGAUAGCAGCAGUGGGAGGUUUUGCUUGAGUGCAGAGUGCAGAAACAGGCUCCAUGCAGUGUUUCAGGGAAGGAGUUUGGCAGGGAGAGAGAAAGUUGUACCCUCAGGCCUUGCUCUUCCUUUGGGAACGUCAAAAUAUGCAGCUGAGAGCAGCAGGUCCUCCAGGAGAAGGCCACUGAAUCUCUGCACACAAAGUCGGCACCCCAUUACCACCAGCUGGCUUUUCUCCACGUGGACAGAUGGGGGUGAUGCUCUUGCCCAACCCAAAAUGGGUGAGCAGGGAUUCCCGUAUCCAGAGACUCAUGGAAUCACAGAAUGGUUUGAGUUGAAACGAGGCUCUAAAGGCCGUCUGGUCCCACUCCCGUGGCUCCAUCAGGUGCUCAGCCUGACCUUGGCUGUCUGUGGGGACAGGAGCAUCCUAACCCUGUGGAUGCCGUGCCAGACUGGCCCUAUGGCUCCCAUCACACAAACACACCUGCUGCUCCAGCUGCUGAGUGCUGGGGGCCAUGUCUCAGUUACCCUGCAUGGCACAGGGCAGGAAGCACACUGGCAGGGUAGGGCUGGGUGAAUGCCCCCAGUGAAAGCACCAUCUGUGACAUGCACACGUCGCUUGCACCGACCUGAUGCUGUCUGCUGCCCCAGCCUUGCUUUGCUGGCUGGCCAUCUGCUCUCUGCAGGAUGGGUUUGCACCAUCUGUAGCAUUGACAAGCACCAUAAAUUUCACAGAGCAAUGGAUGUCAGUGCUGGAGCUGGAUUUCCCUCCAUAUCAUAGAAUCACAGAACGGCCCGGGUUGGAAGGACCUCAAGGAUCACGAA